GUUCUCCCUGUACAGUUGUACUCUUCAUAAACACACAUCAAUCAUACGGUGUCAUGCAGUGUUGAGACGCUGAAAUCAACGGGUGAAGUAACGCACGCCUCUGAUUGGCUAAAGUCAACAGAAUACUUUUCAACAUUGAACUGAAGAUUUCAACAGGUUUGCUCUUGAUCAGAUCAAGUGGCUCUUCCGCUGAUUAUCAACGACGAGCCGAAAUGACCCCAUGAUUCGAAUGUGCAGGCUUGGCUUUUCCCACGUUAACUACGCAUGAACACGCACGAUCGCCCCUCGCGAUUUUGACGUUGAAGAGAACUCCUUUCUGAAGUGUGACGUCAGUCCGUGAAUUUGACCACGUUGUGGGAAUAUGUCAACAUUAACUAUUUGAAACAAAUUGGUUGGCGAUAUUCUGAUUUUUGAGAAAGCAAGUCACUAGAAAAGAAAAAGCCCUGACUGGCAUCGAAAAGAGGCUGAAUGGAUAUCACAGGAGAAAGCAUCCGAGCGAGCGAAACAGCGCCCCUCUGUCUCUCUACGUGCAGGCCAUCUAUCUGAUGCUGUCUGGUCCAAACAAGGUGGAGGCCAAGAAGAGGAGGAUGUGGAGGUACCGUCUGCCUGGCUUUGAGUUGAGGCUCCUGGAGGAACUACAGAGACAGAAACACAACAGUCUCUACUGUGAUACCCUGUUACAGACUGAUGGUGAGGGAGGAGGGGAGUGAUGGAGAGACUGCAGUCUACUGUGAUAACCUGUUACAGACUGAUGGUGAGGGAGGAGGGGAGUGAUGGAGAGACUGCAGUCUACUGUGAUAACCUGUUACAGACUGAUGGUGAGGGAGGAGGGGAGUGAUGGAGAGACUGCAGUCUACUGUGAUAACCUGUUACAGACUGAUGGUGAGGGAGGAGGGGAGUGAUGGAGAGACUGCAGUCUACUGUGAUAACCUGUUACAGACUGAUGGUGAGGGAGGAGGGGAGUGAUGGAGAGACUACAGUCUACUGUGAUACCCUACUACAGACUGAGGGAGGAGAGAGAGGGGGGGAAUGGAAUCAAUCAGAGCAUAUGAGCAGAGAUGAGAGGUUGGAAAUCCUGCUCAUCUCUCAUGUUGCUCAGCGCUCCAUGUCCUUUCCUACUGCUCAUCUCUCAUGUUGCUCAGUGCUCCAUGUCCUUUCCUACUGCUCAUCUCUCAUGUUGCUCAGCGCUCCAUGUCCUUUCCUACUGCUCAUCUCUCAUGUUGCUCAGCGCUCCAUUGCUCCAUGUCCUUUCCUACUGCUCAUCUCUCAUGUUGCUCAGUGCUCCAUGUCCUUUCCUACUGCUCAUCUCUCAUGUUGCUCAGCGCUCCAGUGCUCCAUGUCCUUUCCUACUGCUCAUCUCUCAUGUUGCUCAGUGCUCCAUGUCCUUUCCUACUGCUCAUCUCUCAUGUUGCUCAGCGCUCCA
ensembl:lncRNA